rnacentral:rRNA from 1 species
GAUGAACGCUGGCGGCGUGCCUAAUACAUGCAAGUCGAGCGAACAGACGCGGAGCUUGCUCCUCUGACGUUAGCGGCGGACGGGUGAGUAACACGUGGAUAACCUACCUAUAAGACUGGGAUAACUUCGGGAAACCGGAGCUUAUACCGGAUAAUAUAUUGAACCGCAUGGUUCAAUAGUGAAAGACGGUUUUGCUGUCACUUCUAGCUGGAUCCGCGCCGCAUUAGCUAGUUGGUAAGGUAACGGCUUACCAAGGCAACGAUGCGUAGCCGACCUGAGAGGGUGAUCGGCCACACUGGAACUGAGACACGGUCCAGACUCCUACGGGAGGCAGCAGUAGGGAAUCGUCCGCAAUGGGCGAAAGCCUGACAGAGCAACGCCGCGUGAGUGAUGAAGGUCUUCGGAUCGUAAAACUCUGUUAUUAGGGAAGAACAAAUGUGUAAGUAACUAUGCACGUCUUGACGGUACCUAAUCAGAAAGCCACGGCUAACUACGUG